AGAUUUCUGAUAUUGAGAGCAGGAUUUCAGCACUGACCAUUGCAGGAUUAAACAUAGCACCCUGCGGGCGCCUCACAAGAAAACGAGAUCAGAAGCAAAGGAACCAGGUACAAACCAUAGACACGUCAAGGCAGCAGAGGAGGAAACUGCCUGCUCCACCUGUGAAAGCUGAAAAAACAGAGGCAUCUUCAGCGACCACCAUUAAAACAUUUAACCGCAACUUCAUUCUCCAAGACUCCUCAACAAAUAGGACUAAAGAAAGGAAAAGCACCACCAAGGAAUUGAUGGAGCCCUCCCUGGAGUCUGCUGUAAUGUAUUAGCACCAUGGAACUCCACUGCCAGUGACCCACUGCCUCCGGCCAUACACGACAGUGCCUUGACCCAACAGCCAUUGAAUACUGUACCGAUUUCCACCUGAGGAGAGGGCCUGGGGAGGCCACAGUGCACCCCUGAACAGGGCUGUCCUGAUACCUCAACCGGAAAGCAGACCCAGACUUCAGCAUCAAGGUCUUGCCUACUCUCUGCCUUAGGCUCCCAGGGGAAUCCAAGACAGAAAACCAAGAUGCUGGCUUUCAAUAGCAGAGCUCCAUGUUCAAAAGAUGCAUCUUUUCCCUGUUUGCCUUGCUACUGUGUGUUGUCUUUAAAACCUUUUUUUUUUUUUUUGAUCCCUUUGAUUUGACUAGAAUUACAUGUCAACCAUUUGUCCCCCCAAAUAUUGUUGGGGUCAGAGGAUAGUGGAGGGAAGGGUAUUAACAUUUAACUCAUCAAGUCCUACUCAUCUCUCACAAGCAUCUUUAUCCCACAAAUGCUAAGGAGAAAAGUGAAAUGCCCCUGUAGUGAGCACUAUGGGCUGUCUAAAUUGUGGAGUACUCAACUGUCAAGGUCUCCUUCCAGCUGCCUCCUAGUCCACUGCACCCCCAGUUCCUCCCACUGCUUUGCAAUCACAAGCCACAGGACAGAAAGCUCUGACUCACCCAUGCCAUGCCCAGGUCUAUCUGAAACAGUAUCUCAUCAAGAAUUCAGGGUUCUUCCUUGGACUCACAGAGAGCUACCCUGCUCUGAAAGGGAGAAGGGCUUGAAAAAGCCUACCAUUGGUUUAACUUUAGGGCACUGUCCAGAAUCAACAUAUGGUUUAGCAAUGACUGUGUCUAAAUGAGGUUUAGGUGACUGGAUAAUUGCAGAAUACAUCCACCUGAGGAAAUGUUGUCCUCCAUAAUUUAUUUCCCAAUAUAAUUAUUCAGCAAAAGUAGUAAGAUGACCUUAAAGAUAAAAAUGGUUAACGAAUAGCCUAAGAAAACUUGUAGAUAUGAAUAAAGCAAGGACAAACUGUGAAUUCAACAGACUCGAGAGUUGCCACUAACUCCACGUGUGUGGUCUCAGAUGCAUGACUAGUUAAAAUGUGUUUAUAAAAGCACAUGAAACUGGAAUUUCAUUAAGUUAAUUAAGCAAUAGCAACCUUUUUAAAAAUUUUGCUCCUGAUAUAGUCUGAACCUGAAGAAGGAAAAAAAAUGGGAGUCAAGGGAAUAAAAUGACUGAUAUGUAUUAAGCAACUGCUCUGAAGGAGGCAAUAUUCUCAUUCUAAUCCUUAUAGCAACCCUAUUCAGUAGGUAUCCUCAUUUCAGAUUUGGAGACUGAGGGCCAGAGCGAUUAACUUGCCAAAGUCAGACCUUUAAGCUAAGUAGAAUUUGAAUGUCUGACAAAAGCUUCAUUCUGUGUCGUUUUCUACUUCAAUGUUCUUUUGCUGCUACGCACAUUUCCAGACCUGACUUGCUGCUGAAAUGUGUGUUAUGACUCAUUCCUGAUGGGGGUCUACCUAUCUUCCAGUAAUAUUCCUUGCUGAUGUUGUAUAUGUGUUAUCCACAGAAAUGACUCCUUUGAAAUAAAGUAAAUUUUUGGCUUUUUGUUCUGUUGGUGUGAUUAAAAGCAAACAAGUACAAAUUUUAAAAACACAACAAAAAAGAUCUGAGUUCCAAAUAGAGCGUUUUCUUUAAGAGGCAUGAAAAGCAACUAUUGUUGUGUUACAGUGUUAAAAUAUUCAUUUUUCUUCGACAAAAAAAAUGUGUACUGUGUAAGCCUUGCAAAAAAAUGAAAACAAAACAAAAAGAAGAGGCCUGCUCUAUGGCAUUUGAAUUUUUAUAAAGGUUUCCUUGUGCCAAAUAAGUGCAAAGAUUUAAUUUACUAUUAAAAUCCAUAAGCAUAUGUUAUAGUUCCAGAAGAAUUAUUUUGUCAUCGAGUGAUUUUGAUCUUCAGUGUCAAUAUUUAUAUUUAGAUUAAUUUUUAUAAAUGAAAAUAUUUUAAUGGUUUAAGAAAACGAGGCCAAUAGGACCAUAUCUUUGAUGACUUCUGAAAGUAUGCUUGCCUUCAUGUUAUAUGCACAUUACCAAGAAUUACUGUCAAGAGAAAUGAUGAAGAAGUAAAAGUCAUUUAUGAAAA
rnacentral:lncRNA from 1 species